GGGUUGUGAGGUUAAGCGACUAAGCGUACACGGUGGAUGCCCUGGCAGUCAGAGGCGAUGAAGGACGUGCUAAUCUGCGAUAAGCGUCGGUAAGGUGAUAUGAACCGUUAUAACCGGCGAUUUCCGAAUGGGGAAACCCAGUGUGAUUCGUCACACUAUCAUUAACUGAAUCCAUAGGUUAAUGAGGCGAACCGGGGGAACUGAAACAUCUAAGUACCCCGAGGAAAAGAAAUCAACCGAGAUUCCCCCAGUAGCGGCGAGCGAACGGGGAGCAGCCCAGAGCCUGAAUCAGUGUGUGUGUUAGUGGAAGCGUCUGGAAAGGCGCGCGAUACAGGGUGACAGCCCCGUACACAAAAAUGCACAUGCUGUGAGCUCGAUGAGUAGGGCGGGACACGUGGUAUCCUGUCUGAAUAUGGGGGGACCAUCCUCCAAGGCUAAAUACUCCUGACUGACCGAUAGUGAACCAGUACCGUGAGGGAAAGGCGAAAAGAACCCCGGCGAGGGGAGUGAAAAAGAACCUGAAACCGUGUACGUACAAGCAGUGGGAGCACAGAGCAAUCUGUGUGACUGCGUACCUUUUGUAUAAUGGGUCAGCGACUUAUAUUCUGUAGCAAGGUUAACCGAAUAGGGGAGCCGAAGGGAAACCGAGUCUUAACUGGGCGUUAAGUUGCAGGGUAUAGACCCGAAACCCGGUGAUCUAGCCAUGGGCAGGUUGAAGGUUGGGUAACACUAACUGGAGGACCGAACCGACUAAUGUUGAAAAAUUAGCGGAUGACUUGUGGCUGGGGGUGAAAGGCCAAUCAAACCGGGAGAUAGCUGGUUCUCCCCGAAAGCUAUUUAGGUAGCGCCUCGUGAAUUCAUCUCCGGGGGUAGAGCACUGUUUCGGCAAGGGGGUCAUCCCGACUUACCAACCCGAUGCAAACUGCGAAUACCGGAGAAUGUUAUCACGGGAGACACACGGCGGGUGCUAACGUCCGUCGUGAAGAGGGAAACAACCCAGACCGCCAGCUAAGGUCCCAAAGUCAUGGUUAAGUGGGAAACGAUGUGGGAAGGCCCAGACAGCCAGGAUGUUGGCUUAGAAGCAGCCAUCAUUUAAAGAAAGCGUAAUAGCUCACUGGUCGAGUCGGCCUGCGCGGAAGAUGUAACGGGGCUAAACCAUGCACCGAAGCUGCGGCAGCGACGCUGAUGCGUUGUUGGGUAGGGGAGCGUUCUGUAAGCCUGCGAAGGUGUGCUGUGAGGCAUGCUGGAGGUAUCAGAAGUGCGAAUGCUGACAUAAGUAACGAUAAAGCGGGUGAAAAGCCCGCUCGCCGGAAGACCAAGGGUUCCUGUCCAACGUUAAUCGGGGCAGGGUGAGUCGACCCCUAAGGCGAGGCCGAAAGGCGUAGUCGAUGGGAAACAGGUUAAUAUUCCUGUACUUGGUGUUACUGCGAAGGGGGGACGGAGAAGGCUAUGUUGGCCGGGCGACGGUUGUCCCGGUUUAAGCGUGUAGGCUGGUUUUCCAGGCAAAUCCGGAAAAUCAAGGCUGAGGCGUGAUGACGAGGCACUACGGUGCUGAAGCAACAAAUGCCCUGCUUCCAGGAAAAGCCUCUAAGCAUCAGGUAACAUCAAAUCGUACCCCAAACCGACACAGGUGGUCAGGUAGAGAAUACCAAGGCGCUUGAGAGAACUCGGGUGAAGGAACUAGGCAAAAUGGUGCCGUAACUUCGGGAGAAGG
rnacentral:rRNA from 1 species